GUUACUGAAGAGAGUCAGAGACUGUACGGUCUGAAGAGCAACAAAACGCCAAAACAUAAAAAGAAAGCAGGAAUGCAGGAAGUGGUUUUAUGGAACAUAGCUAAGAAACUUCAUAGCUCUUGAAUGUUUAUUGGCUUCUUCUUCUUCACUUGCAUACAAAUUCAUAUGGCAUCCUCCUUUUGUUGAUGCUAUCUAAUUUCUGCUGUAGCCGUACAGAUUUGAUUAGUGGCUCAGAUUUGCUGUCCGUUCUUCGCUCCUGGAUUUGAAUGUUCAUCAAAUCAUGCAAGCAAUUUGCAAGAACCACCAAAAUUUGCGAAAGUGAAACGACCAUUCGUUCGCUGUGAC
rnacentral:misc_RNA from 1 species